UCUACAUGAUUGUGCGUCCUUUUAUUAUAAGAGGUCAAUGUUAUGUAUAAAUAAAAUUGGUCCCUGACUUGUGCUAGCGUGUGUACCUAAUUACACAUCUAAACUAAUAAUAAUUGUAACUUACUGUUUACGAAAUCGGUUGUUAUUUCUUGUAGGUGCCAUAUAGUAUUAUGCUUGUGAUUAAUCAGGCAUUUAGCCUAGGAAAUACUGUUUAUUUCAAUACAGUAAACCGCUUUAGUACUAUGCAGUAAUGAAAUCUUUGUAUUACAUAAAAAUUAAGUUUAAUAAAUUUGAAGUGAGUACAUCAACAAAGUACUUCAUCAUUGUCAGCAAAGAUAUUUUUUUUAUAAUUAAAUAUAAAAAUAUGUGACUCUUUAACGAGCACUAUCAGAUUUAAAUAGCAAUGACCAGUGUGCCCAAUGGCAGUUUUCAAUGUAUUCAUACAGUGACUAUCGCGUAAACGUAAACGCAAAUUUCUAAGGAAUUGAAACAGUUGUGCAGAAGGCCUAGUGGCAGUUUGAUACUGUGACGAUCGUGUUAACGUAAACGCGAAUUUAUAUGGAAUUGAAACAGCGCCAUCUAGUGGCACUACUGCACAACUGUAUCUGUAACAGUAUGCAAAUAUUGAAAACUAUUGUCACUUAGUGUAUGCCACUAUUCAUACAGUAGUGCCACUAGAUGGCGCUGUUUCAAUUCUUUAGAAUUUCGCGUUUACGGUAACGCGAUCGUCACUGUAUGAGUACUGCCACUAGGCACACAGAACCGAUGGCUUAAAGUGCACGGGGUUGUGAUACCACCUGCUUCCCAACUCUUGGUUGAGAAUUCAUUUUUCAAAAUAAAUCUCAGUUUUUGACACUUGAACACAGGACCUCGUGAUCUGAAGCAAAAGGCUUAACCACUGGGCCAACGUGGAAGUUGCAAAAGUGACCUUUAUUAAUAAUAAACAAAAUAUAUACGCACAGUAUUACUUAUUGAUACGUUUGUAAACUUGAAUAGGGUAGUUGACACUGUUAUAAAAACGGUCUUAAGUUGUUCAUUAUCGUUCUAUUAGAUCGUAAAAAGUAUAUUGUUUUUUUUGAGACUUAAAUACUCCCAAAUUUAAUUUAAUUUUAAAUUAAACGUCCGAAAACGCUGUCCGCCUUGAUUGUCUAUAUUUUAUCUGUAACAUUACGCAAGCAAGUUUCUUUUACUAGUUUUUGGGCUUAGUUUUUUAUUGAAAACCAUGAUUUUUAAUAUUUACUAAUACUAUGAUGUCACGAAAUUGCGGUGUUUUUGGAAAAAAAUAUAUAAAAUACGCAAUUUUUAACUUGACAUUUUAAAAUAAUCUUUUAGUAAUUUUUUAAAUUAGUAUAUUUCAGACCCAUAAUCCAAGUACUAUACGAAAUUAAUAUUGUUUAUAUUAAACUAGCGGACGCCCGCGACUUCGUCCGCGUUUAGGCCUCCUUAAUCUGGCGCUCUCGCAAAAUUCUUACUUGUGGACCUCUACCACACUGUAAUCUUUGACCUCUACUAACUACAACCUAUGUACCUGCCAAAUUUCAUCUUUAUACGUCAAGCGGUUUUUGAGUUUUCUUGAUGAAUGACCUUUCACAUUUAUAUAUUAAGAUAAUAAAAUAUGAUAUGAGUCAACUACCCUAUUGCACCAUCCUGAAGCUGGCCAAAUAUAGCCUUCAGAAGUUCAGAACUAAUCUAAAUGACUACCUAAGCUAUAUGAUUCUAUUCAUUCAAAUGAUCGCCUACGCUACUUAUUAUUUACAUAUAUAAGAAAACUAGAUUAAUUAUGACAUGUAUUUAAUUAUUUUAUUAACUGAUUAAUUCUUUUCGAAUAAUUGUCACUAAACUAUAGCUUAAUAAAUAAAUAUUUUAAUUACCAUUAAAUAGGUACCAUUAAUAAAUAUUUUAAGUACCAAUAAUAACAACAACUAAAUACCAAUUUCUUACGUUUUAUGGACAUAAAAAUUUCAAUCACAAUAGUUUACCCAUGAAUAAGGAGUUAGAUGUUAAUUUUAAUUAUUUAUUACUACCUACUUAAUAUAAUAAAGUGUUAUAAAUAUAAUUUUGUUACUUCUAAAGAA